GUUUGCAGAGAGCCAUGUCUGUAUGUGGUUUCCAAUAGCAAUGGGGCAUGUCUUGAUGCUUUUUUUCAGACAAAAGUCUGAAGUCAGAUUAGGGUUGUUGGUUUGGGGUUUUUCUGUAAUUGCUGAAUAAGGCCUUCAAAUUUUGGCCACAAAACACCAACAAUAAGCCUGACAGAUGAUUAAAUAUUAGAUACUAAAAUAACAGUAUUCUAAUUACAGAUUUCUCUGCCUCUGUUUUCUUCCAGCUCCAGAUGAGUUGGUCUGCUACUGGUUUCUCUGCCUCUGUUCCCUUCCAGCUCCAGAUGAGUUGGUCUGCUACUGUUCUGAUACCCACUCAUUCAGUGUCCUAUCCCUUGUUCUGUCCAAGCACACCUCCAAAAAAAGAGACUGUUCCCAGCAGCUGUUCAUCUAAUUCAUCAGCAAGAACCAUAUUCAAGAAGAUUAUACUGCUUUCAUUUGUCCCCUUCAGAAAAGCAGAGGAAGAGCAGAAAAGUAGGAGAGGUAAGAAUGCAUUAAGUGAGCCUAUAGGAAAACACAAAACACUCAGAGUCCUGCAACUCAGUUAAACCCUAGCUAUAGGCAAAACACCACAAACUGUCCUUUGAUGUGUUAAUUGAAAUUUAGCUUUCCAC
rnacentral:lncRNA from 12 species